rnacentral:rRNA from 1 species
UACGUAGGGACCAAGCGUUGUUCGGAUUUACUGGGCGUAAAGGGCGCGUAGGCGGCGCGGUAAGUCACUUGUGAAAUCUCUGAGCUUAACUCAGAACGGCCAAGUGAUACUGCAGUGCUAGAGUGUGGAAGGGGCAAUCGGAAUUCUUGGUGUAGCGGUGAAAUGCGUAGAUAUCAAGAGGAACACCUGAGGUGAAGACGGGUUGCUGGGCCAACACUGACGCUGAAGUGCGAAAGCUAGGGGAGCGAACGGG